rnacentral:rRNA from 1 species
UACGGAGGGUGCAAGCGUUAUCCGGAUUCACUGGGUUUAAAGGGAGCGUAGGCGGGCAGAUAAGUCAGUGGUGAAAUCUUUGGGCUUAACCCGAAAACUGCCAUUGAUACUAUUUGUCUUGAAUAUUGCGGAGGUAAGCAGAAUAUGUCAUGUAGCGGUGAAAUGCUUAGAUAUGACAUAGAAUACCCAUUGCGAAGGCAGCUUACUACACAUAUAUUGACGCUGAGGCUCGAAAGCGUGGGGAUCAAACAGG